rnacentral:rRNA from 1 species
AUGCAUUGGGUGUCCUGGAAAGAGUUGGCAACACCUAAAUGCAAGGGAGGGAUGGGGUUUCGAGACCCGCAUCAGUUUAAUCUUGCUAUGUUAGGCAAACAGGGGUGGCGAUUAAUGACAAAUCCUACAUCGCUGUGUGCUAGAGUUCUCAAGGGCCGAUACUUCCCAGACAGUGAUUUUAUGCAUGCUUCUGCUCCAAAGUCGGCCUCAGCCACUUGGAAGGCGAUCUUGGCGGGA